rnacentral:lncRNA from 1 species
AGAUGCUGUCUUUUGCAGUCCUCCGAGAGGUUAGGGAUGUGGGAGGUCCCUGGGGGCCAUCUCUUACAAGACACAGUUUCCACUAAAUUGGAUCGUAUUUGUACAUCUCUACACCUCCUUCUCCGCUGGUGGUAUACUUACGAGGACCAGAGGUGAGGUGUCAGCAAGGAGGCCCACAGGUGGAAAGUGCUUUGGGCCAAUGGUACACACCUGCUUUAUUGGAUAGACGCAGAGAAGUAUGCCUGGUCACAGCCAGAGCUUACUCGGUCAAGAAAUUAUGAGCUCCCCAGAAGUCUCUUGUAUGCUGUCUCCUAGUUGUGAGCACCUUUUACCAAAGGUAACCACCAUUCUAACUUCUUUGACCAUAGAUUGGUUUUGGUUAUUUCUGGACUUUGAGCUUUGGAAUUGUACCACAUAUAUUCUUUUGUGUCUGGCUUCUUGUGGUCAGUAUUAUGUCCUUGAAAUUCAUUGAUGCUGUAUGACAUCGUAAGCAAUUAAAUAUUUGUCAUUGCUGAGUGGUA